AGAUCACUGCCUUAUAUAAAAGACCAUCUACUCAGCCAAACAUUGAGUCUAUCUACUUGAGACUUCUGCUUUCUGUAAAUUGGUUCUUCCGUUUACCGCGAUGACCUUCAUGGUUCUCCUUGUGAUCGGCCUGUGUAGCCUCAUGGUUUCAAGCCAGGAUCGUGCUACCCUCACCUCCACAGAUGGCACUGAAACGGAACACAUGGUGCCAGAGGAAAUUGUUAUUCAACCACCACCAAUUACUGUAAUUAUGCCAGGAGCUAUUCUUUCCUUUUUCAAACAGUUAGCGAAUAAAACUGCUACCUGACCAUGAAGAAAUCAAGAUUUAAAUACCUUGAUCUCCUGGAUCUCCUCUUUUUUUUCAGCUCUUCCGUUUUCCUUGAAUUUCCCCCAAAUUGUUAUACGGGCGAAGGAUACUUCUCUUUCCACCCCACUCAUUAAGUCUCUGAAAUAAACUGGCAAUUGAUCAAAAUCA